rnacentral:lncRNA from 1 species
GGACGCGGCGCCGAGCGGAAUUCCUACCGGGGCCGCCAGGAGACCUCCAAAACCUUCGCAGAUUGCAGAUUGAGCUUAACCAAGAAGCUCGUGGGCUGAUCCACGCUGACCUGCCUGACCACGGAAGAGGUUCUGUCGGCCUGGCUGGGCCCCUCUUGGCUUCACUUGUUGCCUGGG